CCUACGGGAGGCAGCAGUGAGGAAUAUUGGUCAAUGGGCGCGAGCCUGAACCAGCCAAGUAGCGUGAAGGAUGACUGCUCUACGGGUUGUAAACUUCUUUUAUAAAGGAAUAAAGUGAGGCACGUGUGCCUUUUUGUCUGUACUUUAUGUAUAAGGAUCGGCUAACUCCGUUCCAGCAGCCGCGGUAAUACGGAGGAUCCGAGCGUUAUCCGGAUUUAUUGGGUUUAAAGGGAGCGUAGAUGGGUUGUUAAGUCAGUUGUGAAAGUUUGCGGCUCAACCGUAAAAUUGCAACUGAUACUGGCAGCCUUGAGUACAGAUGAGGUAGGCGGAAUUCGUGGUGUAGUGGUGAAAUGCUUAGAUAUCACGAAGAACUCCGAUUGCGAAGGCAGCUUACUAAACUGCCACUGACAUUGAUGCUCGAAAGUGUGGGUAUCAAACAGGAUUAGAUACCCGAGUAGUC
rnacentral:rRNA from 1 species